GUUCAGAGGGUCAGACUCCUUCAGCAGAUCAGCAUCAUCCUCUUGCAGACCAUAAAAAGCAGUAUUAAACCUGUCAUGAUCACUGACUUUCUAACAAGGAAAAGUUCCAGAACAACAAAAUCUGCCUAUUGAUAUGAGAAAUUUUGGUUUUCACAUCAAUCAAGCACUUGAUACAUGGAACUUAUGGAUUUUCCUGGAAGAAGUGAACUGGAUUGCUAGACUGCAUAAAUUAUUACUUUCUAUAAUCCUGCACUGGGCUCCACAUUGCAAGAACAUGAGAAGUGCAUGGCCUGCAUGUAGCACCACGCUUCUGGACUCCAGCCACCACCCAUUAACAAAAAUUCCAGGCAAGGCAAUGUGAAGAAAUAUCCUGUUUCAGGGAAAAUUUCCUUGUUUCACAUCACACUGUCUUAAUAAACCACAGAUAUGAGCAGAACAAGGACAGCAAAGACAGUGAAACCUGAAGGUAAUGGUCAGUGUGUGAACGUCAGCUUCUGCCACCUCAGUAAUGGU